AAAGUAAAAAACAAAACCUUUUGCCAGCUCAAUCAUCAUCAUCCACAGUUUUUUGCUUGACCAAAAAUGUACAGAACGAGGAACAGAGCAUAGAGGGAACAAUUCUACGAUUAUUAGGGUUUGUGGGUAGAAGAGGAAUCUCAGAAUGCCAACACCAUGUUGCCAAGGUUUCACCGCAUUUCUUCUGAAAUUCCUCAAUUUCUUACAAACUUUCAUUGGUGUCUCCAUCAUCAUUUACUCUGCCUAUAUGCUUAACCACUGGCACCACCACCACAACGAUGUUCAUGACGCCCAAUUCCUCAAUUUUGGCUCAAUUGACGUUUCAAAUUCUGUCGUCUCGGCUUUACCAGAGUUGAACAAAAAUUCGCUUCCAGCUCCAUGGUUUAUAUAUGCAUUCAUGGGAAUUGGCGUCAUCUUAUGUUGUAUCACUUGUAUUGGGCAUGUUGGUGCUGAAGCUGUUAAUGGGUGUUGCCUUUGCUUUUACUCUCUGCUAAUGAUGACUUUUGUACUCUUGGAAGUAAGUCUGGUUGCAUUUAUUGCAAUUGAUCAUCAUUGGGAGAAGGAUCUUCCAACGGACCCAACUGGAGAACUUCACAGCCUCCGCACCUUUAUUCAACAAAAUAUGGAUGUUUGUAAGUGGAUUGGCAUUGUUGUUGUCGUAAUUCAGGCAGGUUUUCUUUGAACUUGAAGGUCUUCUAAGAUUUUAUUUUGUGUUCCUUGUUUGUUUUUGAAUACCUUCAUCCAGACUAGGUGAUGCUUCUCGUUAAGGUGGAAAUUGAGAAAGUUGGGAUUACUAAUGUAUAUGUUAUCUGGAACAUGCUUCAGAAUAGGCAUUCUCCUUAUUUCUCGCAGUUGUUCUCAGAACUUUGGUUAGUAGCCCUAAACUAAAUUAUGAUAUGGAGGGAGAUUAUGAUGUUGUUGGAAGAACGAGGGAGCCACUGCUUGAUCCACGUUUAAGCCAAACAUCUGGGUUGGCUAAAGGUGAUGCAAGAGGUGGCCAUUCUGACAUCUGGAGUUCACGGAUGAGGGAAAAGUAUCAUUUGGAUGGAGAAUCAAGACAUCAUAUACCAAACCCAAAUCCAUCAUGAGGAUAGUAAGAAACACAGAGGACAUGACGUUGAAUCUCAUGGAGUAGAUAAACUGGCAACAUGGCUGAGUAUGAAGCCUUGUUCAAUGAUUGUGUACCAUAAAUUAUAAACCUUUUGUUUGUUGUCAGUUUAUGUAGGCAGUGUACAUAUGUCUGCAGAAAGACAUUGCAAAGCUGGGAUGUAGAGAAAUACAUAACUCGCUUGUUAAUAGGAUCCUUUGUUGAGAAGCACUUUACCAGAGUGCAUUUCUAGUUUGGUGUCAUAGUGAAAUUUGUUCUCUUUUUAAUUCUUCCAAAUGUAGCAACAAUUGUGUCGAUGUAUGGUUUUCCAAGCCUGAUUGAUCUCUGCUUAUUUUUCGUAAGUAAAUACAUAGAAAAGUAGUAUAGCUUAGUUUUAUCUGUACACAUUCUCACAGAACAUGAUAGGUGUAAGGAUCCUCCUCAAAAGGAGUAUGAAUACCUCCUAUUUUAGCUAGGAGAAUUAUUUCUUUUCU